rnacentral:miRNA from 1 species
GUUUCUCUCUCUCUCUCUCUCUUUUUUUUUUUUUUUUUUUUUUUUUUUUUUUACCGGGAGACCCCAAGAAAGAAGACACUCGAUAACGUCGAGUCGUUUGCCAGUAUGGAAGGACCAAGGGAGAGCGAGAAAAAGAAGAAGAAAAAAAAAAAAAAAAAAGCCACCAAGGAAGGCGGAGGGC